UCUCUGGAGGAUUAGUGGUUAGGCUUUGGCACUCUCACCACCAUGGCCUGGGUUUGAUUCCUGGCCAGGGAA